GACGGAGGGUGCUAGCGUUGUUCGGAAUCACUGGGCGUAAAGGGCGCGUAGGCGGCCAGGCAAGUCGGCUUUGUGAAAGCCCGGGGCUCAACCCCGGAGGUGCGGCCGGGACUGCUUGGCUGGAGGCCGGAAGAGGAGGGGUGGAAUACCCAGUGUAGAGGUGAAAAUUCGUAGAUAUUGGGUGGAACACCGGUGGCGAAAGCGGCUCUCUGGUCCGGACCUGACGCUGAGGCGCGAAAGCGUGGGGAGCAAACAGG
rnacentral:rRNA from 1 species